rnacentral:rRNA from 1 species
AACGACUGCUAAUACCGCAUACGACCUACGGGUGAAAGGGGGCCUCUUCUUGAAAGCUCUCGCGAUUAGAUGAGCCCAAGUGGGAUUAGCUUGUUGGUGAGGUAAAGGCUCACCAAGGCGACGAUCCCUAGCUGGUCUGAGAGGAUGACCAGCCACACUGGAACUGAGACACGGUCCAGACUCCUACGGGAGGCAGCAGUGGGGAAUAUUGCACAAUGGGGGAAACCCUGAUGCAGCCAUACCGCGUGUAUGAAGAAGGCCUUAGGGUUGUAAAGUACUUUCAGCGAGGAGGAAAGGGCAUAAGUUAAUACCUUAUGUCUGUGACGUUACUCGCAGAAGAAGCACCGGCUAACUCCGUGCCAGCAGCCGCGGUAAUACGGAGGGUGCAAGCGUUAAUCGGAAUUACUGGGCGUAAAGCGCAUGCAGGCGGUUUGUUAAGCGAGAUGUGAAAGCCCCGGGCUCAACCUGGGAACUGCAUUUCGAACUGGCAAACUAGAGUUCUUGAGAGGGUGGUAGAAUUUCAGGUGUAGCGGUGAAAUG